rnacentral:ncRNA from 1 species
UAGGAGCCUGAUAUGUAUGAGAACAGUAUAAAAUUUUUUAUGUUCUUAAUGAUUAAUUAAAUUUCUCUGAACCACACAGUUUUACAAACACUGUUAGAAGUAGGAAUGUUUCAAUGACUAGCAAUUCUGAAUUAUUCUGGGAAUAAAGUGUUAUGGUUCCAAAUUAAAAUGUGUGAAGACUUAGAGGAAAGAAGUCCUGGCUAGCAAUGGAGUGGAAUAUGCAGCCUCCAGUCCAUGGUAAUGCAGUGUGUUGGCUGACCCUGCAGAACCAAGACAUAAUAGCCAGUAGUGACUGUUUUGUGGUCUAAGAGAGCUCUGGCUGCCUGUGCUGGUCUUGGCUGGGUUUAGAUCAUCGUGAGACAGGUUAGUUUUACCCUACUGAUGAUAUGUUGUUGCAAUAGUAGUCCUGCUCAGUAUGCGAGGAACGGCAGGAUCAGACCCCUGGUGUGUGCGCUUGGCUGAGGGGCCACUGGCGCGAGGCUACCACAGUGGGCAUAUGACUCAACGCCUCUAAGUCAGAAUCCUGCCUAGAUGCAGAACCCAGCCAGA